rnacentral:tRNA from 1 species
AGAGGUUUAGUUAAAAGAUAACUUUGGGUUGUCAGGCCAAAAUUGCUGGUUAGAAUCCAGUAGCCUCUG